rnacentral:rRNA from 1 species
ACUCAAAUGAAUUGACGGGGGCCCGCACAAGCGGUGGAGCAUGUGGUUUAAUUCGACGCAACACGAAGAACCUUACCAGGGCUUGACAUCCUCUGAAUACCCAGAGAUGGGUAGUGCCUUCGGGAGCAGAGAGACAGGUGGUGCAUGGUUGUCGUCAGCUCGUGUCGUGAGAUGUUGGGUUAAGUCCCGCAACGAGCGCAACCCCUAUCUUUAGUUGCCAGCAAGUAAUGUUGGGCACUCUAGAGAGACUGCCGGUGACAAACCGGAGGAAGGUGGGGAUGACGUCAAAUCAUCAUGCCCCUUAUGUCCUGGGCUACACACGUGCUACAAUGGCCGGUACAGAGGGAAGCAAAGCCGUGAGGUGGAGCAAAUCCCAAAAAGCCGGUCUCAGUUCGGAUUGCAGGCUGCAACUCGCCUGCAUGAAGUCGGAAUCGCUAGUAAUCGCAGGUCAGCAAACUGCGGUGAAUACGUUCCCGGGCCUUGUACACACCGCCCGU